rnacentral:rRNA from 1 species
UGGGGAAUAUUGGACAAUGGGGGAAACCCUGAUCCAGCAAUGCCGCGUGAGUGAAGAAGGCCUUAGGGUUGUAAAGCUCUUUCGCCCGCGAAGAUAAUGACGGUAGCGGGAGAAGAAGCCCCGGCUAACUCCGUGCCAGCAGCCGCGGUAAUACGGAGGGGGCUAGCGUUGUUCGGAAUUACUGGGCGUAAAGCGUACGUAGGCGGAUGCGCAAGUUGGGGGUGAAAUCCCGGGGCUUAACCUCGGAAUUGCCCUCAAAACUGCACGUCUUGAGACCGAGAGAGGUAAGGGGAAUUCCUAGUGUAGAGGUGAAAUUCGUAGAGAUUAGGAAGAACACCAGUGGCGAAGGCGCCUUACUGGCUCGGUACUGACGCUGAGGUACGAAAGCGUGGGGAGCAAGCA